GUCUCCACCUGGCGCCAGGUUCAGGGUGAUCGAGGAUGCUUUGACCCCGAAUGAAGGCUCACCAUUGCACCUCGGUGGGUUGAAACUCGCAACGGACUUUAAUUGGGCACGCUUGGGCGUGUAGUUUUUGUCAGUGGGGAAGCCUCACAGUCCUCCCUU
rnacentral:snRNA from 1 species